AAAAAGAAAGAAAGAAAGAAAGAAAGAAAGAAACGGCACAAGAGGAAUUACCUCAGCGGCAUUUCCUCAUUCUCUUUUUCCCUUGUUAUGCAAAACAUCACAUGUGACGGACGGAACCCAACAUUGUCGUAACGAUCGUUAUAACAGCCGAAGUCCGUUCAGAUCCAGGUCCACAAGUUCCACAGGAAGAGCCCGAACGAUCGUAGCCAUAGAAAGGCGGAGAAAAUGGCCGGGCUGGAGAGCCUAAUCUGCCCGAUGCGAUGCGGCGGGGUGGCGAAGUGCUCCAUCUUCCCCUUUCUGCCGGCCGCUGGCUUCGCUCGGGGAUGGAAGUGGGAGAAGGCCGGACGUAUGACCGUUGCCAUCGCCGCCAGGCUUGGCCGGGAAGACCCUGAUUUGCUUCUCCGAGCAGCUCUCAGGGCGGCGUCCCUUCGAUUCCAAGAGACCCUUCGCCCAGAUCCUCUUUUCGUUGAUCCAUAUGCCAGCUGCCUUCUUUCCCCUGUCAAUGGUCAUCAGGAUAUGGAGGAACAACCUCCAGUUUUAACAACUACACUAUCUCCAUAUCACUAUAGGUUAGCAACAAAAUUCCUUGAUGACAAAUUGCUUAGUUUGGUGAGCAGUAUGGACGAACUGAGGCAGAUUGUUUUGUUGACAGAUGGUAUGGACACCCGCCCAUAUAGGCUGAGUUGGCCUCAGCCAUCCAUUGUAUAUGAUGUCUCUCCAGGAAGAGUCUUCAAGGUAGCGUCUCAAAGGCUUAAAGGUACAGGAGCUAAAAUUUCAAGAAACUGCAUGCUAGUCCAUGUUCCUCUAGAAUCUUCUGAUUUACAGGCGAUUUUGUGUGAGAAAGGCUUUAAAGGUGACAAACCAAGUUUAUGGGUGCUUCAGGGGCUACCGCUGUUGACUUCAAUAGGCUUGAAAGACAUUUUGUUUGCUAUCAGCAAUUUAGCCAUGAAAGGAAGCAUUUUAAUUGGAGAAUUGCCUCUCUGUUUGCUGGGGACAGAAGUUGGAAACAUGGCUACAGUGCAGAAGUACAUGGAAAAACUUUUUAUGAGUCAUGGUUUCAGAUCUGAUGUAUUUGACUAUGGUGAAGUUGCAAAAAACAUGCUCUUGGAUCCGCCAUCAGGAGCUUAUGAGAAUGUUCUUUUCCUUGCAGAACAGUUGCAGUUAUCUGAUGCUCAGAUGGAGAGCUGGUGGAUGCACUUUGAAAGGAUAGAGGAAGAAGGUGAUGAAGAAGGAUUUGAAGAACUGUAGCAUCCUGAAGAAACCACUGGUUUGAAAGUUGAUACAGCGAUUCUGUUAAAUGCUAAUAACAUCUUUGGGCACAAAGUUCUCUCUCCAGGUAUCAAUUAACAAUCUGAAACAAGGGGCAGCGUAGAUGAAGAAGAGAUCGGACGCGAGCUUGAAGAUGGGCUGGUCUCGUCAGGGAUGUCGGAGGAAUCAACGAGGCCUAGGAUUUUGGCAUGCUUCCGCUCGUCAACGACGGGAGGAGGCGGGCGGCAUUUUAUGUUCCUAUUUUCUCCGGAAGCUUCGGAUAAAUGAUUAUUACGAUGGCAUAUUUAGCAAGGCAACCCAAUCUAUUAUUACUACGUAAAUGAUUCAAUUCGGUGGAUGCACGGCACUCAUAGACUUCUAUAGCCAGAUCGGCAUUUCUAAAGACUAUUGCAACUCGUCACACUUCCAAACAUUGAAAACCUUCGGGAGAGGAUAUCGAGCCUCAACAGUUUGAUCCAAGGACAUACCAAUCAAAGAUACGCUACAGCAACUGAUAUGCAAGAAUUACAGGCCAUUUGGCUGCCAAGCUGAGGAAGACUUAGUUUUGUCCCUCUUUCUCCGCUUUGCUUUGUAAUAUAGGUGAGAUUCAGAUGCACAAGUGUCCGAUAGAAAUACUACAUGCCUUCUAACUUCCCAUCUCAUCCUAAUCUAGUCAUGGUCACAAUCACUCUUUAA